rnacentral:rRNA from 1 species
AACGCGUGAGGAACCUGCCUCAAAGAGGGGGACAACAGUUGGAAACGACUGCUAAUACCGCAUAAGCCCACGGCUCGGCAUCGAGCAGGGGGAAAAGGAGCAAUCCGCUUUGAGAUGGCCUCGCGUCCGAUUAGCUAGUUGGUGAGGUAAUGGCCCACCAAGGCGACGAUCGGUAGCCGGACUGAGAGGUUGAACGGCCACAUUGGGACUGAGACACGGCCCAGACUCCUACGGGAGGCAGCAGUGGGGAAUAUUGCACAAUGGGGGAAACCCUGAUGCAGCGACGCCGCGUGGAGGAAGAAGGUCUUCGGAUUGUAAACUCCUGUUGUUGAGGAAGAUAAUGACGGUACUCAACAAGGAAGUGACGGCUAACUACGUGCCAGCAGCCGCGGUAAACCGUAGGUCACAAGCGUUGUCCGGAAUUACUGGGUGUAAAGGGAGCGCAGGCGGGAGAACAAGUUGGAAGUGAAAUCCAUGGGCUCAACCCAUGAACUGCUUUCAAAACUGUUUUUCUUGAGUAGUGCAGAGGUAGGCGGAAUUCCCGGUGUAGCGGUGGAAUGCGUAGAUAUCGGGAGGAACACCAGUGG